UAACAGAUCCAGAACCAAACUGAAAUCAAAACAAAAUUAAAUGACAGAUUUUAAAAUGAAAUAAAAAUUGUAGCAAAGGACUAAGGUGAAAUGCGCAUCAAGAAUGAGGGACUUAUCGCACAGUAUCCCCCAUCCCGUAUCCUCAUUGAUUUGUGCGGGACCAGAUUGGAACAGGCGAGAAAUUACGUGGCCGAAAUUAAAAGAAAUAAAAGAGUGCUCGCAUGUGUCACAGAAUUGGAGGGACUAAUUAUGUAAAAUACCCAUUAGGGUAAUAAUGCACAGCCCUCUUUCCUUUACACGGCGCCGUUUGAACUUCAACACAAAAGCUAAAGAAAUAAAAGGGAAAUUCCCUUUUUUGCUAGGGUUCCAGGCUUAGCCUUGGAACCCUGCCGCCGUCACGCCUUCCCCUGCCCGGUGGCCGGAGCCAUGCGAGGGUGUCUCCCACCAGCGCGUUGGAGCGCGCUCAGAGACCAAGGCUCUGAAACGGGGAAACGAGGAGAAAACGGAAGGCCUCCGUCCCUUCCUUAACCAGUUCGGCAACGGCGAAGAGCCGAUGAUGACGCCGGAUUCAGGGGCCGAUUCAGGUCUUCUUUUGCAGGUGUUGGAAUGGCUUGCCAUUUUCGUGCAAGGCUUGGCUGGCGGUGGCAGACCUCGGGCGUGGUACGCGCUGAAGGCGCACAUGGAGGCAGCGGCGCCUUAGGGUUUCAAUUCCUGCUGAAACCAGUUAAGGUUUUGGGCUUAUUGGGCCCUGGGUCAUGGGUUUGUAGUUUGGGUUGUAAUUUUGGGCCCGGGCAUAAAUUGGGUCUUACACACCUUAUGCUGGAAAUUGACUUUCUGCUUGUAAAUAUCUAAUUUCCUUUUAGAUAAUACUUUCAGUGGUAUAAAUCUACUACAGUAAUCCAGUGUUCUUUGACUAA